rnacentral:lncRNA from 1 species
AAGGAAUAUGCUAAUACACGACGCUAUAUUUUCGUCGCUACAUCGUCACGGUUUUUAGUUUACGACGAUCUUACGACGAAAAACCAAGUGUCGAAAACGGAGCGUCAGAAAUGAACAACAUCGAUGUUUUGAUCGAAAUCAUCGUAACUUUUACGAUGAUUCCUGGAUCGUCGUAACCUUUACGACGAUCCUAAAUUGUCGUUGGCAAUCUAACCCAGUCCUACGUGGCAAAAUUACGA